rnacentral:lncRNA from 1 species
UAAGUUACUCGUAAAGCGGUCAAGGUACGAAUCUGUUGUUUUGAUUUGCUUUUAAAAUGAAGGCAUUUGAUUUUUUCUAUAAAUUAAGAUGUUGUUACUUUGAUCUUAUCAAGGCAAUAGAACUUGCGUUCUUGGAAUUCUUUCUCUGAAAUUUCUCAUAUCCUUUACUUUCAUCUGUUUAAUUCUAGUUGUUCAAUUCUUUGUUGUUAUUGUUUCCGCAUUUCUCAAAUUUUACUCUAGUUUGGAUUCCCGACGUAGUUGUUAUCAAGUGGUAUCAGAGUGGUUCUAUCAAGAUUUCGUUCUUGGUAAGUCUUGGGUUUUUUUUGAAUACUAAGAGCAAAGAAAAGGAAACAAAAGAAAAAAAAAUUAAAAAAAAACAAAAAAAAAUUAAAAAAUAAUUAAAAAAAGAAUUGCUUGCUUUCCAAAAAAAAUUCUUUGUAUCGAAUUUCUUUCCAAAAGUUAGCAAACGAAACCAAAAGAGGGGAUCCUAGAUUUUCUUACUCAUUCUAAUCUACAUAUUAUAUCCUUUCCUUUUUGUUCGCGUCUUGUUUCAACCAAGC